CAGACUUUGGCUGCCAUCCACCAACAUGGAUUGCACUAAAAGACAACCUCCUUGUGACUUCGACACGGCCCUGCUUUCAUCUGAAGCUCCCAAGCUGGGGGUCCCUUGAGGGGAAGAAAAAGAAUUGUAUUUGCUUAUAUGCUCCUUUAAGAAGUCUGGAAUAAUUCAGAGGAACAUAAAAGCAGUUACUCGACGGGGUGUAGGGAAACUGUGGAGAUGGCAGAGAAUAGGGUUGCGUGUGUGACUUUUCACUGAUCAUCUCUUACAUUUAUUUGUAUUUGUUAUUUUUGACCCAUGUGAAUGACCCAGAGCUCUGAAAAAAUUAGCAAAUAAUCCAAUAAAAGAACUUCAAAUAACUCUA